UGCUGAGGGGCGGCCCUGCGGGGGUUAGCUGAGGGAGGUUCGUUCCUGAGAGAAAAAGGCAGCCCCUGCUCAGCUGGUCGCAGCUCUCGUACCCGGGAGGCGGCACUUGCCGCCUUUUCCACGUGGUUGGUGAUGCAACUGGGCGUUAAACGGCUUUCGUGCCAACCUCUGGAAAGGCCGGUUUCGAGCUUGCCAAAACACACCGAGAUACGACCUUCGGCGCCUCCCCCACGCCGCUCUGUGCCGGGACUCCUCCCUACCCCCUUCAGGCAGCCCCUCCCGCGGAAGGUACCUGAGGGCCGCGCUGCGCUCCUCCCCGCGAGCCGAAGCGGCGAGGCCCGUCCUGUGAAAGGCGAGAGCCACCGCUGCCCCCAAGCUGUGGGGCCGCCUGCCGGCCUACAGAUCGCUUCCAUUGUGAUUCAUCCCAUUCGGAGAAGGUGGCACCUUCCGAUCCCCAUUUGCCCUUUUCACUGUCAUGGAGGGGUACGAGAACUGCCUCUGGCAGACAUUAAAGCGCUGCUGAUGGAACGCCUCAUCUCACAAGAGCACGAGAAGUCGCUCCCACCGCCCGGCCGCUUCUCUGCCCGCAGGCCCUGCGUGCCUUACAGCUGUAACUUCAACUGCAAGGUCCAGAGACAACAACCAGGCAGUGUGAGAUGAUGUGAGAUCACGGCUGAAAGAAGCCUCACUGCCACAAGGACUUUGUGAAUUUGGAAUAAGCUCACACUUCAGUUUUGAUUUGUGAUGAAUCUUAUUCAUGUAUUGGACGUUCUCUGCUGUGCUGUAUUCAUCAAUCUGAUAUGUCAAAUUUUAUAGAUAUCAAAAAUCCAUCCCGAUCUGCUGAAACCGGAGAAAGGAAAAACAAGCUGUGCUGAACAUGUCUCUCUGGUGUGUGAUAAAAAGUGAUAAGCUGACUUUCAUUGAAACUGUCAUGUUUUCAUCUGUUAGCUAUCAUUGGCUUUAUAUUGGUAAACUGCACCGAACCUAUCCCAUAGCAAAUUUAAUAUCAGCAAUCCGAGAGAUCAAUGUAUUUAAGACAUGGCCUAAGAAGAAGGCAAGGAGUAAAACUUACAUUUGUAUCAUUUUAAAAAUCAGACACCAUUUUUAUCUCUGCAAUAGUUAGAACAAGAUGUACAGGAAGAAGAAAAAAGAGAUAAAUGUUUGACACUUCAGCAACUUUACCAUCAUCAACAUGUCUCAAUUUUAAAGUAAUAAUGAAAAGCAAAGGGGAUCCACCUUAUGCCUGAGUUAGCUGAGAUCACCUCUGAGCCACAACAUACCAGCUGCUUACCACCACCAUCCAAUACCACAGAACAGGGUAACAGACAUAAGUAUGCCAUUUAUUUGAAACUGCAGGAACUCUGUAAGCAGAGUGCUGUUAUCUGAACUGGAAUUUGACCAGGAUGUUUACUUACUGAUUUUAACAAAACAAUUGCAGUAUGCUGACCGAGAAAGAAGACAUUUCCAAGGAACAGUAUCAUUCAUGGCCUCCACUCAUGGGUAAAGCUGGAGCUGCAAGAACAAAAUGCCCCAUGACAGAACCACGGGGGUCUCUGCUCUGCUGCAUGAUGGCAGGCAGAGCUCCAGAAGGAAGUGCUCUGGUUUGGAACUGUGUUACAAUUUUCCAGGUUGAAACAGAACCAACAUCAUUCAAGAAUUUGCAAUAUGAGACUUGAGCAUUUUAUUUUGUUUGGUAGCUGAGCUUCUCUUGGGAUAUCUUAUUCAGAGUCAGGUGUCAAGUAUAAGUGAUACCAGCAAAAUCCAAAUCAUCCAACGUUGUACUGUAUCUUCCUUAAGGCAAAUGGGGGUAGAGGCAGAAAGAAGCUUGUUUCUUUUAGUGGGAAAAUAUGUACUAGAAGACUACAGUAAUUUUAUAUUCUUAUCUGUUUACCUUCACCUCAAUAGCAUGAAGAACACGAGAAACCUACCAACUAGCUUGCCUGUAUUAGGAUCUCAGUACAGUAAGUUAUUAUGCCUCACCUACAAUAACCACUUUACUUAGAGCAAAAAAGGGGCAUUUCCUCAAACACGUUCACUUAACAUGAUUGAAUCAUUUUGAGAUGCAGAACCAAAGCCUUGAAAACAUUUACUGAAAAAGUAAAUUUUAAUUUGACUUUAUUAUAAAGAAAAGUUCAAAAAGCUACCAGUUAAUGUUUUCUUUUGAUCGUGUAAUAUUUCAACUAAAAACUAAUUACAACAUUUUAGUUAUUCCAGAUUUAAAAAACAAACAAACAGACCAAAAAAAAACCAAAACCAACCCACAGUGUUCCCAUUGUGCAGGAAGUUUGGGGAUGUCAGCUGUUUUACUGCUCUCACUCACAGAUUUUAAACUGUUGCACCUGGCUGCAGAAUGGGAUUUCUAAGUAGAUGUAAUAUUAGUUGCGACCCUGAAUUUUAGUUUCAGCAACCUAUUAAUGUCAUCUGAGUGAAUAAACACUGUUAGAUGUCAAGAAAGACUCUACUCCAUUGUCUGAGCAAACCAUUUACCAGAAGUUAACAGCCUGCCAGUUACAAGUGAUUUAUAAAUGUUUACCUCACUGUGACUGUUAACAUCAGAUUACAAAAUGUAUAAAAAUCUAUUUGCUUUCUUUCAGCAGUGUUUUUUUAGAGGCUUUAUUUCGAAAUACAGAUCUGACCCAGACCUGUGUAUUUCACAAAAAAUUUCUGAGUUCAAAACUCUACACUAUGUAAGUACAUGCUACAUAAGCAUAGGUAUCCAAUGUGUAUCCUAUGUGGUGUCGAUGCUCCUCACUCACCAGCUUUACAAAAAAACCUGUCUGGCUACAGCAACCUUCAAGCUUAACCUCAGUCAUGCUGCUUGUAAAAAUAAAUUAGGAUCCAUUUUAUGGUCUAAAAUCACUAGCACUCAUUUAUGAAUUCAAUUUCACUAACUAGUUUCUAAACUUGAAUAACUUGUGUGCUCUACUACUUACGCUGAAACAAGAAGCCAAGGAGAUGGGGGAAGGGAGCAGGGAGCAUUGAGCAUUUAAAAGCAGCUUCAUAGACUACAGUUCUUUUUCUUUUUUUUUUUUUUUUUUUUUUUUUUAAGAAAAUUCUUUGUUCAGUAUGUGACUCCAUGUAACUGUCACAUGACAGAAUCGCAGUUACUUACAUAGGAAACUGGCUCCAUGGUUAUUUGGUCCCUGUUGAACAGGGAACUAUGGUUUUGUUUUGGUUUGGUUUUUUUGUCUCUUCAAAAUAAUCCACCUUUUACUUCUACUUUAUACCAUUUCACACCCUCUGUCACUGGAAACCGGGCCGCAUUCUUUCCCAAUGAAUAACAACAGCAACAAAAGAAACUCAAAUUUACAGCACUGCAGGCAGCUUAAGACCACCUUAUGGUUUCAGAUACAAAACAUGACAGUGCCUUUUUAAGUUUCCAAUUUAUUCAGGGGCUAGGUAAAAAAAUAGGGUUAGCUUGGACAUGCCAAACUCAUGUCACAUCCAAGUCACAAGGCCGAGGGAGUCAGAUCUUUAGCUCAACUCCACCCUGCUCAUAAUAUUCAGAUUCCUAUCUGUAACCAGAUUUAGCUCACACACAAUUCAGGAUGUCGCAAUUUGGACGUGGGCCCAUCUUAAUAGGCAAAAAAAUAAAAAAUAAUCUGUUAAUACAACCAGCACGUAAAAAAUGUUGAAGCUUUCUUCAAAUGGAUGAUCAGACAAUGAACUCUUUGAAUGAUUUGAUUCCUGUUGUCUACGUUCCCCAAAACCUGGAAGAAAGAACAUAGCUUAAAAUAACAUUGAAAGAGGAGCGAUUCAUUUGUUUGGUGCACCUUUUCCAUUACUGAGGUGUGAUCUCUUCUUUUGUGCAGUGGUGAUGGUUAGAGAGACCAAUGGGUACUUUGAUAAGAAUUACAUCCUUAUCUCACUAUUGUUAUGAACUGGACAAUUUUCGACAUUACACAUUUACUUUUCAAAUUCAGCAUCGAUUAAAGGCACCUAAAAAGCAAAUCCCUAUCCAGAUGAUGUUUAAACCUAUUGUUAGAAUUGAUAUAACAGAAACGGCCCUUCCUCAAUUCAAGCUUUUUUAAUUUACCUGUCUACUCUACAUAGCCAGGUUUGCUGUUUUGUGGCCAGCAGAUUGUAUCACCUGGUUGUAUGACUGUUGCCACUGUCACUCACAUGUUCUUCCCCAGGUUCAGCAAGAGGGCAUCUACUAACCAUAGGAGCACCAAAACAUCAAACAGGCAUGCAGGAAUGAAAGUCCCAAAGUAUUUUGAUGCAGGUCUUCAGCUCAGCUGGAACUCCCUAUGUAAAUGGCAAAAAAUUCAUGACAAUAUUUUUUAAUUUGAAUGUUAAUAGUAUGCUCUGAUUUGU
rnacentral:lncRNA from 1 species